CAGGACGGGUGAGUAACGCGUGAGAACCUGCCUUCAGAAUGGGGACAACAGUUGGAAACGACUGCUAAUACCCAAUGUGCCGAAAGGUGAAAGAUUUAUCGUCUGAAGAUGGGCUCGCGUCUGAUUAGCUAGAUGGUGGGGUAAGAGCCUACCAAGGCGACGAUCAGUAGCUGGUCUGAGAGGAUGAUCAGCCACACUGGGACUGAGACACGGCCCAGACUCCUACGGGAGGCAGCAGUGGGGAAUUUUCCGCAAUGGGCGAAAGCCUGACGGAGCAAUACCGCGUGAGGGAGGAAGGCUCUUGGGUUGUAAACCUCUUUUCUCAGGGAAGAAGACAAUGACGGUACCUGAGGAAUAAGCAUCGGCUAACUCCGUGCCAGCAGCCGCGGUAAUACGGAGGAUGCAAGCGUUAUCCGGAAUGAUUGGGCGUAAAGGGUCUGCAGGUGGCAUUGUAAGUCUGCUGUUAAAGAGUCACGCUCAACGUGAUAAAAGCAGUGGAAACUACAAAGCUAGAGUACGUUCGGGGCAGAGGGAAUUCCUGGUGUAGCGGUGAAAUGCGUAGAUAUCAGGAAGAACACCGGUGGCGAAAGCGCUCUGCUAGGCCGUAACUGACACUGAGGGACGAAAGCUAGGGGAGCGAAUGGGAUUAGAUACCCCUGUAGUC
rnacentral:rRNA from 1 species